CAGCCUCCUCCAUCUGGAGCAGUGCUGCUUGACAUAGCCCAGGAAAACCACAUGGAAGAAUCAUACCUAAGCUCUUAAAGCUGGCUCCGAAAGUGACAUGCUUCAUCUGCCGUAUUUUAAAGGUCAAACUCAUGCCUGGCUUCCAGGGGAUCAGAAAGUAAAAUCUACCAUGUUUCCAGUAAGAAAAGGACCAAAAGUAUUGCUUGCCGUCAUCUUCAUGUCCUGAAAGAGAAGCCCACUGAUUUCUUGCUAGAAGAAAAUAAGAACAGAAGAACUGAACCUCCUGAGGAGUCAGUCUGUAUUCCACUCCAUGUCCUUGAUCUGAGAUCCUGCAAAACAAGUGCACUGUCCAUUAGAGUUUCAAUGGCGCCCAUAUUUGUCUGAGAUUAGGGCACAGCAUAACACAUUGGCACACACUGAACCCUAAUUUGAUAUUGUCCUGAGAGCAGGACCUGGCAGUAGCAGAGCACAUAAAGACAGCUUGUAAAUCACUGGAACCUGGGACCCCAGAGAAGAGCCAGCCUGGGUUCCUCUGAUCCUAAGCAAGGCGCCUCAUGGAGUUGGGAGUCAUUUCACACGUGCAGAAAAUAUUGCUUUUCACUGCCUAGAUUUGAGUUUGCUGAUUUGCUGGAAGGGAAAAGAUGACUUGGACAUGGAAGACAAGUAAGUGCCCUUGGGGGGAAUUUUAUUUCCCCCUCCUUUCUGAAAAAUUAUCUCAUAUACCUCUUUCUGCUCCAUUGUCCUCCAUGCUGGAUGGGCCCAGAGU
rnacentral:lncRNA from 1 species